AUACGGAGGGUGCAAGCGUUACACGGAAUCACUGGGCGUAAAGCGCGCGCAGGCGGGCUGAUAAGUUGGAUGUGAAAGCCUACGGCUCAACCGUAGAACUGCAUCCAAAACUGUCAGUCUAGAGUGUGGGAGAGGAAGAUGGAAUUAGUUGUGUAGGGGUAAAAUCCGUAGAGAUAACUAGGAAUACCAAAAGUGAAGGCAAUCUUCUGGAACACUACUGACGCUGAGGCGCGAAGGCGUGGGGAGCAAACAGGAUUAGAAACCCGUGUAGUCC
rnacentral:rRNA from 1 species